CCUACGGGAGGCAGCAGUGGGGAAUAUUGCACAAUGGGGGAAACCCUGAUGCAGCAACGCCGCGUGGGUGAAGGAGCGUUUCGGCGCGUAACGCCCUGUCAGCGGGGAAGAUGAAAGACGGUACCCGACCAAGAAGCCCCGGCUAACUACGUGCCAGCAGCCGGGGUAAUACGUAGGGCGCGAGCGUUAUCCGGAAUUACUGGGUGUAACGGGAGCGUAGACGGUUAUGUAAGUAUGGAGUGAAAGCCCGGGGCCCAACCCCGGGACUGCUUGGGUGACUGUGUAACUGGAGUACAGGAGGGGCAGGCGGAAUGCCUGGUGUAGCGGUGGAAUGCGUAGAUAUCAGGAGGAACACCGGCGGCGAAGGCGGACUGCUGGACUGAAACUGACGUUGAGGCUCGAAAGCGUGGGGAGCAAACAGGAUGAGAUACCCUGGUAGUC
rnacentral:rRNA from 1 species